UAAGCGGAGGAAAAGAAACUAACAAGGAUUCCCCUAGUAGCGGCGAGCGAAGCGGGAAAAGCUCAAAUUUGUAAUCUGGCGUCUACGACGUCCGAGUUGUAAUCUCGAGAAGUGUUUUCCGUGAUAGACCGCAUACAAGUCUCUUGGAACAGAGCGUCAUAGUGGUGAGAACCCAGUACACGAUGCGGAUGCCUAUUACUUUGUGAUACACUUUCGAAGAGUCGAGUUGUUUGGGAAUGCAGCUCAAAUUGGGUGGUAAAUUCCAUCUAAAGCUAAAUAUUGGCGAGAGACCGAUAGCGAACAAGUACCGUGAGGGAAAGAUGAAAAGCACUUUGGAAAGAGAGUUAACAGUACGUGAAAUUGUUGGAAGGGAAACACAUGCAGCCAGACUUGCUAUUCGGGGCAACUCGAUUGGCAGGCCCGCAUCAGUUUUUCGGGGCGGAAAAGCAUAGAGAGAAGGUAGCAAUUUCGGUUGUGUUAUAGCUCUUUAUUGGAUUCGACCCUGGGGGACUGAGGAACGCAGCGUGCUUUUAGCAUAAGCUUCGGCUUAUCCACGCUUA
rnacentral:sRNA from 1 species